rnacentral:rRNA from 1 species
UACGAAGGGGGCUAGCGUUGUUCGGAAUUACUGGGCGUAAAGGGCGCGUAGGCGGGCUGACAAGUCUGGGGUGAAAUGCCGCGGCUCAACCGUGGAACUGCCUUAGAUACUGUCGGCCUCGAGGAAGGUAGGGGCAUGCGGAACUGUAGGUGGAGCGGUGAAAUGCGUUGAUAUCUACAGGAACUCCGGUGGCGAAAGCGGCGUGCUGGACCUUUUCUGACGCUGAGGCGCGAAAGCUAGGGGAGCAAACGGG